AGCUUUGCACAAUGCAGUAUCAAGCCAAUAAGGUUUAUUCGAGGCACGAUUAUUGCUAAUUGAAAACUUUUCCCAGUACCCCGCCAUGAGGACUUGAAAUAUAGUCGGCAUUGGCAAUUUUUGGUAAUCUCUACAUGGA
ensembl:snRNA U4 U4 spliceosomal RNA